rnacentral:rRNA from 1 species
GAUGAACGCUGGCGGCGUGCCUAAUACAUGCAAGUCGAGCGAACAGACGAGGCUCUUGCUCCUCUGACGUUAGCGGCGGACGGGUGAGUAACACGUGGAUAACCUACCUAUAAGACUGGGAUAACUUCGGGAAACCGGAGCUAAUACCGGAUAAUAUAUUGAACCGCAUGGUUCAAUAGUGAAAGUCGGUUUUGCUGUCACUUAUAGCUGGAUCCGCGCCGCAUUAGCUAGUUGGUAAGGUAACGGCUUACCAAGGCAACGAUGCGUAGCCGACCUGAGAGGGUGAUCGGCCACACUGGAACUGAGACACGGUCCAGACUCCUACGGGAGGCAGCAGUAGGGAAUCUUCCGCAAUGGGCGAAAGCCUGACGGAGCAACGCCGCGUGAGUGAUGAAGGUCUUCGGAUCGUAAAACUCUGUUAUUAGGGAAGAACAAAUGUGUAAGUAACUAUGCACGUCUUGACGGUACCUAAUCAGAAAGCCACGGCUAACUACGUG